ensembl:lncRNA
CCUCCCCGCCCUCCAGUCGAGCAGUGCCUGCGGUGGUCGUUCAGAAACCAAGCAGCAAACUGCUUGGCCAAGAGGGAGGGGCACCCAGCGGCCGUGCCCUUUGACUUGACCUCUGUUCCUGCCAACGAGCCGGACUCCAGGGGUUCUGUCUGGGUUGAAUACCGAGCCUGUAUUUACCCCUGUCCCCAAGGAUCAAACAACGCCAGCCGUGAAAAGAAGGAAUCCCCUUGCACCACACUUGGAUCAGUUCACCUUUCUCCUCUCUCUCCUUCUCCCCCUUUUUAACCAAGACCGAGUAGCCAAGAAGAAAGACAGGAACAGCUUAUUCGGCUGACCUGACAGAAAAACUGGCGGCUGUCACUAAUAAAAAUGCAGUGUAGUAGAAAACAGAGACAGUUGCCACAAACCUGCGUCCGCUAGCCUGCUGCAGUGGAGAUAAUACUAUCGCAUACCCAUGCUUUUGUUCAUCCCUGAAGAGACUUCCGCCCUGGUGGCUCACAGCUCCUCCGAAGACAGCAUGCAUGUCUAAAAGUUUUAGUUAAUCAUGCAUUCAUAAAAUUUAAAAAUCCGCAACACUCCCUCCACCUUCGCUCCCCACACGUUUUCUUUUAAAACUGUAAAUUUUUUUUAAACCUUAAAGUAAACAGUAUCCUGCAAGGAUUGCCCGGAUCAACAGACACCUAAAUGUGUAUUCAAAGGGAAGUCAAGCUGGUGUCUAACGAGAGCCUCCACUCCUACUGAUUAAUGUUCAUAGUUCUGGAAGGUACUCUGCAUGUUACCAGAGGAAAAAGGUAAGCACCAACCCAGCUACAAAACCUUCCAUCUACAGUGAUGACCUGCCUGCAGGAUAUGCUGAUGCUGAUGCCAUGGUGGCAUAAACAUUGUCAGAGUAACCAACCACUGUCUGAUUGGAUUUGAGGCCCACUCCAUGAGACGGAACUCAUGCCCGACCCAACACUGCUCAGGUGACCAUGAACCUGAAACUAGAGAGGCCAUAGACCAAAGAAAAACUGUUUUUCUGCUAAAGGAACAUAGCAAUAAAAUGACUUGUGAUGACAUUCUGCUAUACCCAUACGUCAGUGUCUCAUCCAGUCAUUACCUGGGAAGCUUCCCCCUACAGUUGACAGGAACUGAUACAAAGAUCCACAAAUGAACAAUGUGCAGAGCGUGAAAAACCUUGGAACACUUGGUCCUAAAUGGAAUGUCCUCUCAAAACCCCUUCCCUCGGGGCUCAGGAAACUAUGUGAAAGAGGAAGCAGAAAGAUUUUAAGAGCCAGAGGGGAUGGAUGACACCAAGGAAACAGUGUCUUCCAGACAAAAGAGGACUGAUGAACUUGUGAGCUCUAAGAGGCAUGUGGCUGCAAGUUCAGGCUCUUCACAGGUCCAAACCAAGUCAGGUUCCCACACUGAGAGAGAAGUGGACAUGAGAUCCCAUCUCUAACCAAUAAACUCUAACUGACAACAGCUUGCAAGGGAAAAAAAAAUUGGUUUUCUUCAAGUCUCACCUGGCAUACAAACCACACUUAAGGGCAGACGCCCUGCCCAGCAGUAGAUGGCCAACACACAAUGAAUUUAAUGGCAUUUUUGUAGACUUUUCAUCUCAUAAUGCUUUGUUUGGGGCGUUUUUUUACCUUACUGGUCUUUUGCUUACAUAUUAUAGUUUCCGAUUUUGUGUUGUUUUUAUGGGUUGUCUGUGUGUGUUUGCCUGUCUGCAUGUAUAUGUAUUUCUCAUGCUUUUUCUUUAUUUUUUGUUUUGUUUUGUUUUUUAUUUGCCUGUUUGUUUUCUAAAGAGAGGAUUCAUGGAGUUGGAAGGGUGGGGAGGCCGGGAAAGAUACAGGAGAAGAUGAGGGAAGGAAACCUAUCCUCAUAAUGUAUUAUAAAAAUGAAUUAUUUUCCAUAGAAAGAAGAGAGAGUUGCUAGAAAAACAUUUCUAAAACUCAGAACGAUAAAAAUGUUAGUUCUUACAGCCACUUGCAAUUUUCCUUGCUGGACUUAAUUUUGAAAGAGUUAAUAAAAACUCAUUUAAGUCAAUUCUUAUUCAUGACAACACAUGAUUAGGAAUUGUAUUAUAUGUACACCCUAUCUUACUUUAAACCACAAGUAGGCAAAGGUAACUUAGAAGGGAAAAAAAGAGAGUGGGAACUGCAAAGUGGAAUAGUGCUGUUUCUUGGCUUAUUCUUAGGUAUUAACUUCUUCUUCCACAGGGCCCUGCUAUCCUCAGUCUCACGAGGAGUCUUUCCCAAGCUUCCCAGCAUGGAGAGGCACUUCUGAGACUGAAGGCAGAAGGAAGGAAGAAUUUCUCCCUUUCUCCACCUCCCUACAGAAGGUGUGGGUGGUGUUUCUGUGGGAAGUCAUGGCAUGUUAAAAUCCCAGCUUCUUCCAGGUCAUCCUGGCCUGGAUUAAUACUAUCUCCUUUUGUUCUUCCAACCUAGGAAUGAAGAUGGCCUCCUGCCUCUGCUAAUUUCUUGGUUCCAUUUUUUGGCUUCUGAGGUCUUUUGUCACAGUUUUCUUUUUUAUAAUUGCUCUAGUUUUUAAAAGUACAGUGGUUUGGGAGUUUUAAUGAAACACUAGUAUUCUUGUGUCUUCGUUAAAGUUCCUGCAGAGACAGACAAUAGGUACUUUCUAUGGAUAGUCUAUGCAAAACAAAGAAGUUAUAUAGUGUCAUCUAUCCAAAGGAAUAAGAACCAGACUAGCUCUAAGGCCUAUGCAAUGGGUGUUUCCAGUAGUCUUGUCUAGUAGCCAUCUCCAGUAGUCUUGUCUUGGUGCCUUUUUGUUCCACAUGUAAAAUUCUGGAAUGGAGCUGAUUGUCCAGUCUCAGGGCAACUAUCCCUAACCCUAACUUCCUACCCAC